rnacentral:rRNA from 1 species
UACGUAGGGGGCAAGCGUUGUCCGGAAUCAUUGGGCGUAAAGCGCGUGUAGGCGGCUGAGUAAGUCUGCUCUGAAAGCCCGGGGCUCAACCCCGGGAGGCGGGUGGAUACUGCUCAGCUCGAGUCCGGAAGAGGAGUGUGGAAUUCCUGGUGUAGCGGUGAAAUGCGCAGAUAUCAGGAGGAACACCGGUGGCGAAGGCGGGUCUCUGGGCCGAUACUGACGCUGAGGAGCGAAAGCGUGGGAGCGAACAGG